CUGCAUACUGUGCACAUAGGUGUAUUGACUUAAAAGGGAAGUCGGUGAGAAUCCGGCGCGGUCCCGCCACUGUAAGCAGAGAGUUUGCCCCUAUUAUACCACUGACUGGUUUCAGGUUGGGAAGGUUGGGGCAGAUGAUGACAUGUAAGCCAGGAGACCUGCCUAGGUGAGUAUUUACCU
rnacentral:ncRNA from 2 species